GACGAACGCUGGCGGCGUGCCUAAUACAUGCAAGUCGAGCGAAGUUUUUCUGGUGCUUGCACUAGAAAAACUUAGCGGCGAACGGGUGAGUAACACGUAAAGAACCUGCCUCAUAGACUGGGACAACUAUUGGAAACGACAGCUAAUACCGGAUAACAGUAUUUCUCGCAUGAGAGAUAUUUAAAAGUUGGUUAUGCUAACACUAUGAGAUGGCUUUGCGGUGCAUUAGCUAGUUGGUGGGGUAAAGGCCCACCAAGGCGACGAUGCAUAGCCGACCUGAGAGGGUGAUCGGCCACACUGGGACUGAGACACGGCCCAGACUCCUACGGGAGGCAGCAGUAGGGAAUCUUCCGCAAUGGGCGAAAGCCUGACGGAGCAACGCCGCGUGAGUGAAGAAGGAUUUCGGUUCGUAAAGCUCUGUUGUUAGGGAAGAAUGGAUAUGUAGUAACUAUACAUGUAAGAGACGGUACCUAACCAGAAAGCCACGGCUAACUACGUG
rnacentral:rRNA from 1 species